rnacentral:piRNA from 1 species
UCCCUCACGGUGGCCUCUUUCAGCCCAACUC